rnacentral:rRNA from 1 species
UAAGGAAUAUUGGACAAUGGAGGCAACUCUGAUCCAGCCAUGCCGCGUGAAGGAAUAAGGCCCUAUGGGUUGUAAACUUCUUUUAGACGGGACAAAACCCCUUUACGUGUAAAGGGUUGACGGUACUGUCAGAAUAAGCAUCGGCUAACUUCGUGCCAGCAGCCGCGGUAAUACGAAGGAUGCAAGCGUUAUCCGGAAUUAUUGGGUUUAAAGGGUGCGUAGGCGGACUAAUAAGUCAGUGGUGAAAGCCUGCAGCUUAACUGCAGAAUUGCCAUUGAUACUGUUAGUCUUGAGUACAGUUGAGGUAGGCGGAAUGUGUCAUGUAGCGGUGAAAUGCUUAGAUAUGACACAGAACACCGAUUGCGAAGGCAGCUUGCUAAGCUGUAACUGACGCUGAGGCACGAAAGCGUGGGGAGCAAACA